rnacentral:rRNA from 1 species
AGUGAAUAGAUACCCCGGUAGUCCACGCUGUAAACGAUCAAUACUAGGUGUGCGGGGACUGACCCCUGCGUGCCGGAGUUAAACAACAAUAAGUAUUGCACCUGGGGAGGUACGAUCGCAAGGUUGAAACUCAAAGGAAUUGACGGGGGCCCGGCACAAGCGGUAGAUUAUGUGGUUUAAAUUCGAAGCAACGCGAAGAACCUUACCAGGGCUUGACAUCCUACUAAUGAAGCAGAGAUGCAUUAAGUGCCCUUCGGGGAAAGUAGAGACAGGUGGUGCAUGGUUGUCGUCAGCUCGUGUCGUGAGAUGUUGGGUUAAGUCCCGCAACGAGCGCAACCCCUAUUGUUAGUUGCUACGCAAGAGCACUCUAGCGAGACUGCCGUUGACAAAACGGAGGAAGGUGGGGACGACAUCAAAUCAUCAUGCCCCGUUUAUGUCCUGGGCCACACACGUAAUACAAUGGCGGUCAACAGAGGGAUGCUAAGCCGUGAGGUGGAGCGAACCCCGUAAAAGCCGUCUCAGUUCGGA